rnacentral:rRNA from 1 species
CCUACGGGUGGCAGCAGUGAGGAAUAUUGGUCAAUGGGCGCGAGCCUGAACCAGCCAUGUAGCGUGAAGGAUGACUGCCCUCCGGGUUGUACACUUCUUUUAUACGGGAAUAAACUCAGACACGUGUUCCUUUUUGUAUGUACUUUAUGAAUCAGGAUCGGCUAACUCCGUUCCAGCAGCCGCGGUAAUACGGAGGAUCCGAGCGUUAUCCGGAUUUAUUGGGUUUAAAGGGAGCGUAGUUGGUUGGAUAAGUCAGUUGUGAAAUCUUGCGGCUCAACCGUAAAAUUGCAAUUGAUACUGUCAGUCUUGAGUGUAGUUGAGGUAGGCGGAAUGCAUGGUGUAGCGGUGAAAGGCUUAGAUAUCACGAAGAACACCGAUUGCGAAGGCAGCUUACCAAACUACUACUGACAUUGAGGCACGAAAGUGUGGGUAGCAAACAGGAUUAGAGACCCCAGUAGUC